rnacentral:lncRNA from 10 species
GGAUUCUGCCUGCUUGGCCCAGGGAGGCCUGCCACCGCACCAGAAAGCACUGCCCGUCUGUCCCUGGACAACAUCUGGACCAGCCUCUGAGAAAUGGGCUGAAAGUUCCCCAAUGGGCUUGGGGUCCCCAUGCACAGCAGGUGACCCUUGGGUUUAGUGAGGGGCGAAGUUUGGGUCCAGACAGAUGAGAGGCGGGCACUGUCCUCCAUUAUGCUGCUGCCCACACCGCCACCUCCACUUGGCCAUGUGGGGGACACAGAUGUGGAGAUGUGGAUUUAAGAAGGUCCUACAUUAUAAGCUUACCGGGGCACCCCCAGAGCUCGAUCCCAUCACCGCAGUCACGGGUGCAGCAGGAGCCUCGUGCAUGGGAAGGUGGGAGCCGCGCCUCUCCAGACAGCAGGCCAGCCUGGUGCUUCCCUGCUCCAGGAUUCCACUGCCCAGGAGGCGCGCAGACUCCGACACCCCUUGGUGGGCUGUGGGAACACUUCGCGGGUUCUCUGGCGCCCACGCCCCGGCAAGAUGGGGAGCACAGCGACGGCACAGGCCAAGAGACCCACCAGAGGAGGACCUGCUCCCCAGGUCAUCACUGCCGCCAGGGCACUAGCCACCUCCCUAGGCCCUGUCCUCCAGGCGUGUCCAGUCCCUGGGAGGACCGAAGCCAGGCCCACAGCUGCCCGCCAUGUCCUGCAGGAGCUGAGGUCACUCAUCCCAAUAAAGACAUCCAUGUGAGUGCAGGGGGCCCCUGCCCUCCAGGUCACUUCUGUCCAGUGGGCACGGGGGUGCCCCUGCCCUGCCCUGUGGGCACCUUCUCAGAUCGGAUGUUUCUCUCCACGGCCUCUGAGUGCGUGUCCUGUCCCCCCGGCUAUUUCUGCGGUGCCUCUGGCCUGGCUGCGCCCUCCGGCCCCUGCUCCCCCGGCUACUUCUGUCUGGCAGGAGCCUCCUCCCCAACCCCGACAGGCCACUCAGGGCAGGGAGGCCCCUGUCCCCGAGGCCACUUUUGCCCCAGGGGAACCAGCCCCCCACAGCCCUGCCCUGCCGGCUCCUACAGCUACCUGACUGGCCAGGCCUCCUGCUUCCCUUGCCCCGCUGGCUACUACUGCCCGAGAACAUCACCAACUACAGCGGGCACCCCUGUCCCGCUGGCUUCUACUGCCCCAGAGGUGAGCGCCAGGGCCACAACUUCUCUGGGCGAGGCUGGGCAGAGUUGUACAGCCGCUCUAGGCUCAGCUGGGGCCUUGGGGCUCACAUCAAUGCAAACUGCUGCAGCCACAGACACAUGCGCAGGUGUGUCCUCUGCUUCCGGGCUUUCCCGCCACCCGUCCUGAAGGCCAGGGACAUAAGAGCGCUCCAAGGACGAGCUCUAAGCAGGUGGUGACAAGUAUGAGUUCCAUCCAAGUCUCCAGCUGCGUUUUAGAAUGCCUGAAGGUUUUACAUUGUAUUCCGUAGCAUAUCUGUGUUGGCUAAAAAAUGAAGAUGUGAAAUUACUUUAGCAAUGCGUAGAAAGUUCGGUCCCCGUGCCUUUCAGUGAAGUUGAGCCCCAGGAAGGGGAAUAGCACCCAUAUGCUGUGGCUUUGUGGAGCCUGGGCCUAGGGCCACCCAGCCCGGGAGCCGAACUCUCCACCCCAGGAGGCCCGGAGUGAGUGAGUGGUGGGGCCGAGGCAGGGAGUCUGCCAAGGACCAGCCCUGCAGGAGGAGGGGUGCAGGGAGCAGCUGGCCACGUUGAGCCUCCCCUGCCCCAGGGCCUGGAGCAGAGGGUGCCUUCAGGAACCGGCAAGCUGGGCUCCCCUCCUCUGAACGUUGCUUCUCAGGCACCAAGUACGCCACCCAGUUCCCCUGCCCUCGGGGCUACUACAACCCAGACCCGCUGACCCAGAGCCUGGACAGCUGCCUGCCCUGUCCCCCAGGCCACUACUGUGGGCAGGAGAACCUGACCCGGGCCUCUGGGCCUUGUGAGGCAGGUGAGUCUCCUGCCUUGCCCUAAGAUGCCCGCUGUCCAUCUCUGCGCUUCCCACUUCUGCUCCUGGACCUGGGGUCACCCGGACUACCUCCUGGAGCAGCUAACGGGAGGGGUGGGUGGGCCUGCAGCCUGGUAAGCCUGGCCCUGGACUCCUUGGCCCACCACCCACCCCUCUCCACUGGUUUCUACCCCAGGAUGGUUCUGUGUGUCUGCAGCGUGGACUGCCCGCCCCUUCGACCUGGACAACUACACCAGCACCAAUUGCCUGUGCCCAGCCACGGCCACAGGGGGAAAGUGCCCUGUUGGCUCCUACUGCCCAGAGGGAAGCCCAGAGCCCAUGCCCUGCCCACCGGGCUCUUUCUGUGGCACCUCUGGUAAGGGCCUAUCGUGCUGUGGCUCAGGCUGUGGCUGGUGGGAGAACCAACAUGAGGGUGAACACGUAACCACCAUCCUUCCCUGUCCAGUGAGAA